ACUGGGACUGAGAUACGGCCCAGACUCCUACGGGAGGCAGCAGUGGGGAAUAUUGCACAAUGGGCGCAAGCCUGAUGCAGCAACGCCGCGUGAGGGAUGACGGCCUUCGGGUUGUAAACCUCUUUUGGUAGGGAAGAAGCUUUCGAGUGACGGUACCUGCAGAAAAAGCACCGGCUAACUACGUGCCAGCAGCCGCGGUAAUACGUAGGGUGCAAGCGUUGUCCGGAAUUAUUGGGCGUAAAGAGCUCGUAGGCGGUUUGUCGCGUCUGCUGUGAAAUCCCGAGGCUCAACCUCGGACGUGCAGUGGGUACGGGCAGGCUUGAGUGCGGUAGGGGAGAUUGGAAUUCCUGGUGUAGCGGUGGAAUGCGCAGAUAUCAGGAGGAACACCGAUGGCGAAGGCAAAUCUCUGGGCCGCUACUGACGCUGAGGAGCGAAAGCAUGGGGAGCGAACAGGAUUAGAUACCCUGGUAGUCCAUGCCGUAAACGUUGGGAACUAGAUGUAGGGGCCUUUCCACGGCUUCUGUGUCGACGCUAACGCAUUAAGUUCCCCGCCUGGGGAGUACGGCCGCAAGGCUAAAACUCAAAGGAAUUGACGGGGGCCCGCACAAGCGGCGGAGCAUGCGGAUUAAUUCGAUGCAACGCGAAGAACCUUACCAAGGCUUGACAUAUACGAGAACACUGUAGAGAUACAGGACUCUUUGGACACUCGUAUACAGGUGAUGCAUGGUUGUCGUCAGCUCGUGUCGUGAGAUGUUCGGUUAAGUCCGGCAACGAGCGCAACCCUCGUCCUAUGUUGCCAGCACGUUAUGGUGGGAACUCAUGGGAUACUGCCGUGGUCAACACGGAGGAAGGUGGGGAUGACGUCAAAUCAUCAUGCCCCUUAUGUCUUGGGCUUCACGCAUGCUACAAUGGCCGGCACAAUGGGCAGCGAUACCGUGAGGUGGAGCGAAUCCAAAAAANCCGGUCUCAGUUCGGAUUGGGGUCUGCAACUCGACCCCAUGAAGUCGGAGUCGCUAGAAUC
rnacentral:rRNA from 1 species